rnacentral:rRNA from 1 species
UACGGAGGAUGCAAGCGUUAUCCGGAAUGAUUGGGCGUAAAGCGUCCGCAGGUGGCUGUGUAAGUCUGCUGUUAAAGAGUGAGGCUCAACCUCAUAAAGGCAGUGGAAACUACAUGGCUAGAGUGCGUUCGGGGCAGAGGGAAUUCCUGGUGUAGCGGUGAAAUGCGUAGAGAUCAGGAAGAACACCGGUGGCGAAGGCGACUUCCUGGCCUGUUCUUGACGCUGAGGCGCGAAAGCUUGGGGAGCAAACGGG